ACAAAAUGAUGAUCUUCUACUUCAUUGGUCCGUGUUUCUGAUGCAAAAAUGAAGCUAAUGAAGGUCUGAUUAA